GGGGAUGUAGCUCAGUGGGAGAGUGCUUGCCCAGCAUGCAUGAGGGCCUGGGUUCAAUCCUCAGUGUCACAG
rnacentral:tRNA from 1 species